AAAAAAACAAACCUAGUUGGUCUUAGGGUGUGAUAUAUGGGAGUUUACGAAACCAUAUUUGUACCAGUACGUGCAUGAUCAUUUUUUAUACUACUUACGAACUUUGUGAUCCAGAUGCCGUUUACCGGGAUGAGAUAAGAAGUCUGAUACGUAUCCGGUUUCUUGAUGAAAUAAACCGUUGACAAAGAGGACUCUAAUCCUGCCUGACAUCAGCACGGAGUUCAGUUAUAUCUCAUUGGACACACAACAGGCAGGGUAUAAGCCACAGACACCUUUAUUGAACUCAUAAUGUCUGACAGUCCCAAGCCCGCC